UUUAUCUUACUGAAACUGAGAAAGUUGUGUUGCAUCAAUUUUUGAUGAAUGAAGUCGCUGCACUCAAAGAGGGUAGUGAAGAACUGAAAUUGAAAAUAAGGGAGAAAGAUCGCAGAGGGGAACUGCUAGAAAUUGAAAAUUGUGACCUAGCAAAAGCAUUGCAGUUGGCAGAGGAUGAGUUGAAGACUCUUAAAAGUAUGACGGAUCAGCUCAAUCUUCAAGUAAAUGUUGGCAAAAAUCUGUUGUCUGAGAAGGACACUGAGCUACAGGGAAUGGAACAGAAGCUUUAUCUAACUGAAACUGAAAAAGCUGUGUUGCAUCAAAUUUUGAUGAAUGAAGUUGCUGCACUCAAAGAGGGUAGUGAAGAACUGAAAUUGAUAAUAAGGGAGAAAGAUCGCAGAGGGGAACUGCUAGAAAUUGAAAAUUGUGACCUAGCAAAAGCAUUGCAGUUGGCAGAGGAUGAGUUGAAGACUCUUAAAAGUAUGACGGAUCAGCUCAAUCUUCAAGUAAAUGUUGGCAAAAAUCUGUUGUCUGAGAAGGACACUGAGCUUCAGGGAGUGGAACAGAAGCUUUAUCUUACUGAAACUGAGAAAGCUGUGUUGCAUCAAAUUUUGAUGAAUGAAGUUGCUGCACUCAAAGAGGGUAGUGAAGAACUGAAAUUGAUAAUAAGGGAGAAAGAUCGCAGAGGGGAACUGCUAGAAAUUGAAAAUUGUGGCCUAGCAAAAGCAUUGCAGUUGGCAGAGGAUGAGUUGAAGACUCUUAAAAGUAUGACGGAUCAGCUCAAUCUUCAAGUAAAUGUUGGCAAAAAUCUGUUGUCUGAGAAGGACACUGAGCUUCAGGGAAUGGAACAGAAGCUUUAUCUUAC
rnacentral:lncRNA from 1 species